UACGUAGGGGGCUAGCGUUGUCCGGAUUUAUUGGGCGUAAAGGGCGCGUAGGCGGAUGGUACAGUCAGACGUGAAAUUCCUGGGCUCAACCUGGGGGCUGCGUUUGAUACGUGCUGUCUGGAGUUCGGAAGAGGGUCGUGGAAUUCCCAGUGUAGAGGUGAAAUUCGUAGAUAUUGGGAAGAACACCGGUGGCGAAGGCGGCGACCUGGUCCGAUACUGACGCUGAGGAGCGAAAGCCAGGGGAGCAAACGGG
rnacentral:rRNA from 1 species